GGUUUUGUUUACUUGGUCCUGUCGUCUGUGAUGGUUUCUGUUUUAAAAUUUUUUUAUUCUUAUCUGUUUCUAGGAAUAUGGAACCAAAUAGUUAGGGAUUUGAAAUGUGUUUGUGAAUUUGAAUAAAAGUGUUGGGAUUGAAAGAAUGAGUCGCGAAAACCGCAAGGAUAAACCGACUGCCAGAUUUUGUUUGCAAACCAGCAGUUUUCCAUUGCACAUUGAAACCAUCGAAAAGGUUAUGCUUGUGAAAUUCUGGCAUUUAGAAAGAAACCACGGUUAGUGAUGAGUAGAGUAUUCUUUAUUGCAGGCCAUUCACAUCAAUCUGUGAUGAUAACAUAGCCUACAAUUUAUAUGUGGCAAUAAAUUCCAUCUGAUCAUGUGGCCUGAAACUGCUGUACAUUUUCCAAAAAUUUCGUCUCUUGCUGCACGUACCGUCUGUACGCGUUUCGUCACCUGCAGAUAUACUUCAGAACAGUAAAAGUGAUUAUGUUGGUCAACUUUUGAACCCUAAGAUUACACAUUUAGCAUGGUGAAGUCUGAACUUUUUAAUUGCAGUGCAAUGUGCACAUGGAUUUGUUGCAGCCAGCUGGCGAAAGGUGUUCCUCUUGCAGGCUUGCUACCUGUACCAGUUGUAGCUUUCGUCACAUGCAG